CCUGUGAGAGAGCAUAUGGAAGGCCCUGCAAGAAGUCUGGUGAUAACCAUGGAAGCAUACAAGCAUUACCCAGACAAAAUGGGCGUUUGUCACCUGGGCUUUCUACCAAUGCCAUAGGCAGGAGAAGUCAGCAUGGGAAGCAUCCGUGAGAGCCCUGCAAAAGACUGGUGAGAGUUCCCCUGGUGGCCUCCUUUGGCAAUCUCAGGUCUCUGUAAGCUCUCAAGCUGUGUCGUAAGUCCUCCCGUGGUGCUGACUCAGCUCUCCCUGUCUUUGGUGUAGGAGAGCUGGACUUCAGCUCCUUCCUGUUUCCUGCCUAUCUGCUCCCUGCUUUGCCCAUGGCCCAGUGAGCCUUUUAUUCUUCACCCCCGGACUUGCACGUGUGGAUAACAGCAUCUGCUUAUGUGCGCUUCUUUUCUGCUUGUGGUGACAGGCUGAGCGACAGCUCCCAGCCGAGCUUGUGCUUAGCGAGACACAGAGUAGCUGGAGAUGGAGUUCUCUGUGUCACUAAAGCAUGAGCUUGAUGGCUGCCGUGAGACAAAGUGAGAGAGUUUCUGUGUUUGAUUUCUGUGUUGGGCUGAGCGGGUGGAGCAGGGCAAGGGGGCUGAUUUGGACAUGCUGCUUUCCAAAUACGGUGCUGUUUGUGUGGCAAGUGCUUCUGGCAUUCCAAAUUCUGUCAGAUGUCAAUGAAUUCCUUGGAAUCUGCUGAGUUGACUUGUGCA
rnacentral:lncRNA from 1 species